CCUACGGGGGGCAGCAGUGAGGAAUAUUGGUCAAUGGACGCAAGUCUGAACCAGCCAUGCCGCGUGCAGGAAGACGGCUCUAUGAGUUGUAAACUGCUUUUGUACGAGGGUAAACGCAGAUACGCGUAUCUGUCUGAAAGUAUCGUACGAAUAAGGAUCGGCUAACUCCGUGCCAGCAGCCGCGGUAAUACGGAGGAUUCAAGCGUUAUCCGGAUUUAUUGGGUUUAAAGGGUGCGUAGGCGGUCGGAUAAGUUAGAGGUGAAAUCCCGAGGCUCAACUUCGGAAUUGCCUCUGAUACUGUUCGGCUAGAGAGUAGUUGCGGUAGGCGGAAUGUAUGGUGUAGCGGUGAAAUGCUUAGAGAUCAUACAGAACACCGAUUGCGAAGGCAGCUUACCAAGCUACUUCUGACGUUGAGGCACGAAAGCGUGGGGAGCGAACAGGAUUAGAUACCCUAGUAGUC
rnacentral:rRNA from 1 species